rnacentral:rRNA from 1 species
GUGCCAGCAGCCGCGGUAAUACCGGCAGCCCGAGUGAUGGCCGAUAUUAUUGGGCCUAAAGCGUUCGUAGCCGGCCCGUCAAGUCUGUUGGGAAAUCCACGCGCUCAACGCGUGGGCGUCCAGCGGAAACUGUCUGGCUUGGGGCCGGAGGACUCGAGGGGUACGUCCGGGGUAGGAGUGAAAUCCCGUAAUCCUGGACGGACCGCCGAUGGCGAAAGCACGUCGCGAAGACGGAUCCGACAGUGAGGGACGAAAGCUAGGGUCGCGAACCGGAUUAGAAACCCCGGUAGUCC